rnacentral:rRNA from 1 species
CCUACGGGUGGCAGCAGUGGGGAAUAUUGCACAAUGGGGGAAACCCUGAUGCAGCGACGUCGCGUGAGUGAAGAAGUAAUUCGUUAUUGAAAGCUCUAUCAGCAGGGAAGAAAAUGACGGUACCUGAGUAAGAAGCCCCGGCUAACUACGUGCCAGCAGCCGCGGUAAUACGUAGGGGGCAAGCGUUAUCCGGAUUUACUGGGUGGAAAGGGAGCGUAGACGGGUGUGCAAGUCUGAAGUGAAAGCCCGUGGCUCAACCGCGGAACUGCUGUGGAAACUGUAUGGCUUGAGUACUGGAGAGGCAGGCGGAAUUCCUGGUGUAGCGGUGAAAUGCGUAGAUAUUAGGAGGAACACCAGUGGCGAAGGCGGCCUGCUGGACAGAAACUGACGUUGAGGCUCGAAAGCGUGGGGAGCAAACAGGAUUAGAUACCCCUGUAGUC